UUUCCGUAGGUGAACCUGCGGAAGGAUCAUUAUUGGAUUUUGAAACUUCAGGCUGCUGCUGGCUCUCCUCGGAGGGCAUGUGCACGCUUGUUGUCCAUUAUUUCUCCCACUGUGCACAAAUUGUAGACCUUUCAGCAGGCCUAUGUUGUUUUUCACAAUCUCUGAAUGUAAUAGAAUGGUUUUGAAUCUUGGGAAGUACAAUACAACUUUCAGCAACGGAUCUCUUGGCUCUC
rnacentral:misc_RNA from 1 species